rnacentral:rRNA from 1 species
GUUGGGUUAAGUCCCGCAACGAGCGCAACCCUUGUCUUUAAUUGCCAGCAUUCAGUUGGGCACUUUAAAGAGACUGCCGGUGUUAAGCCGGAGGAAGGUGGGGAUGACGUCAAGUCCUCAUGGCCUUUAUGACCAGGGCUACACACGUACUACAAUGGCCGGUACAAAGGGCAGCGACACAGCGAUGUGAAGCGAAUCCCGAAAAGCCGGUCUCAGUCCGGAUUGUAGGCUGCAACUCGCCUACAUGAAGUCGGAAUCGCUAGUAAUCGCGGAUCAGCACGCCGCGGUGAAUAACGUUCCCGGGCCUU